UUACCCAGUUCAGUUUUUUGUAUAGUAUAUUUGUUAAUAUAUCACUGCUUUUUAGUUUUACUAAUACAGUUAUUAAUUCAACAGUGCAUUAAAAUGCCCUCCAGAUUCAGAAAGAAAUGAGAUCUUCAUUUAAAGACAUGGCAUAUACUUGCUUUAUUUGUCUGUUAAAACAUAAAAUAACAAAGUAGAUUUUCACAUUCUAUUUUCUACCAGGAUCUUACACAGUAACCAUCAUUCAUAUUUUGAAAUCAAUUUUAAAAGCAUUUGAGCAAUCUAUGAUUAACAUACAGCUGCUUAAGUUAAUUCAGAGUUUAUUCUGCAUCUUCUAGAAUAAUCAAGUUUAGUAUUACUGAUUUAUUUUGUAAAACACCUUAAAUGCUAUAACCUUUAUUUUUCUCUCCCCUUUUUGCAGCACGUAUUUAAAUAGGGUUAAAAAAUUUUAGGUCAAAAAAUAGUUUCUUACACAUUCUGGAACUUUAAUGAUCGGUUUAUGUUUGUAGUUAAAUGUUUAUUUAUUUCUAAUUUUGAUCUUAACAAGAUUAUAAUUUUUGUUAAACUCACACGACUUGAGAGUAAUACUUGUCCACUGCAUGAAAAGGUGUUACUUGGAUUUUAUGUGGAUACUUAAAACCUUUGACUUCUAAAAUACUAUAUUCACUUAAUUAAAUGUGCUGUCACAUGCACAUUUCCGUGCUCAUUUUGUGUAAUGAUGUCACUUUACAAAAGCGUAUUUUUUAUGUAGAAUUCCUCAUGUGGUAUUUUUUUAUACUUCAGACUUUUAAUGCAUCUAACUUACCAUAAGAGUAACAUAAUUUAUUAUUUUAGAAAAUAUUUUAAAGAAUGUCAGAUUAAUAGUAGUAUUUAUCCUAUCAUCAUACAAUAUAUUAAAUGUACGCCAGGUUAUGAAUGUUCACAUACUGAGAACAGUUCUAUUUGAUGGAAGAUAAAAAACUUAAUUCCACUUACUUUGUGGUUCUUAGUGGAGGUUUCACCACUUAUUUAACUUGAAAUCAGUAACCAACAUUGUGUUAUAACCCUUUCCAACAUACUUUCACUUAAUGUUAAUGGAAACAAUUACUUUAUAAUCCUGCUUUGGAUGUUAAUGAUGUUAUUCUGUUAUUCGUUUAGAAGCUUCAGAUUUGGCAGCAGCUGUGCCGUUCACUGCUUUUACUGACAGAAUUUGCUAAGAAGUGCAGAUGUGAGUUAUAAUACUGAAUGAUCUAAAUUAGAAAUGUGUAAACAGGAGGUUAAGUACUGAUUAUAAGUUCAGGUCAAAAUCUCCGGUCAGUGGCUUCCAAUAACAGUGUCAAUGAACUCCAUAUUUUUCCUGUUCGUUCUGUACAAGCAACAGCAGUAUUGUGUAAUAUAAACAAUUAGUUGAUAAAGAGCAUGCCAUUCUAAUUAUAAAGACUUUAUCUCAUCAUACAAUUUAAGAGUGGAUUUAAAAAAAAUUAAGGAAAUACAUGGUGGAUAGAUAAUGAGAUAUAGAGCCAUUCCAUCCAAGGUGCUUUUGGGUUAUUUGUAAAUUCAUUAUAUGAUGCAGGGAGGUCAACAGACUAGCAGGCAAAAUUAUUUUUCAUCUUUUUCAUAAUUCUUUUCAGUAGUUUUCAUUUUUUAUGUCCUGAUGCUGUCACAUGUUUUUGAUUAUCCACUAUAAAUAGUGGUCUUUCUUCUACUUUUGUCAGAAAUGUAAGUGAAAAAAUAGUUUGUAAAGGGAAGAUAUAUAGAUUUUACAUUACAGCUCACAAAUCCAUUUUAAUUGCUUUUAGCAUCAUGUUAAGCAUAACCUCCAUUUGUAGUCUGCAUAGAAUGCUAUUUAGUCUGACUUCCCAGUUUGCUUUCAUAAGUAGCCUCUUCCAAAGUUUCAUGACUCUCUCACCCCCAAUUGUUUAAUUAUACAUGAUAUUUUACUUGCUGUUCCCUACCUCUGAAUUCCGUCUUGGUAGUGCUGUAGUGGAUUUUCCACCAGUUGCCGUACCUUAGUGCCUUGGAAAUUGUAUCCAGCUUUGUAGUUAGGUUUAUAGUAAGUUCAAGAUAAUUUAUGUAAAGUAAAGAGUGCAUCAGCACUGGUUUUCGUUGGAGACCCCAAUUUUAACAUUACUUACAAAAAAUCCUUUUACCAUAACUCUGCUUGUUCUGCACAAUGUGCUUUGAAUUUGUUUAUUUUUGUUUGAUCUCUUGUCUCUCUUAUGGUCAAUUAUAGAAUGAUUGUUGAAAACAAAAAAGAUUCUAAUGUAUUUGUUACUUUAUUGCAGUUCUAGCUAGAAAGAGGCAUAUAUGCUAAAUGAAUAGAUGGAAUUUGGUACUCUAAAUAUAUACCAAAUAUAAAUCAGAUUUUGGUUUGCAUGACAGAAGAAUAAGGAAAAGAAGCAAAGUUAGUUUGAGUUAGGAUUUAGAGUGUUUUAAACUCCUUUGUGCAUUUCAAUGCACUUACCGUUAUUUUUUUAUAGCAUUGUGCCACCAUUUGUCAAUUGUUUUCAUAACAUGCAAAUUAGACUGUUUCACAUCUUUUUCUGUUUUUCAUACAUUUUUAGCAGGUCAGACUGGGGUUUUUGAUUUGUAAAACAUUAUCUCCAACAAUAAAUAAACUAAAAAUCAAUAAUGUUUUGUGGGCUGGCUGGACACCCUUAUGCACUCUGACAGUUCAAAAGCUGUAAUAGCUUUAUUAAACAACCCAGUAUUACAGCGAGAGAGAUUUCACCUUUUGAAAGUAUUUAGCUAAGUCAUGUUUCAGGUUGUUUUACUACAGACACUUUUUUCUUUGCUUGACUUUUACUUUCAUUUUCGGGCUAAGUUAACAAAUGUAACUUUGAUGACAAUUCAGGUGGACUACUCAGUAGCUUGGAAUCUGAAGCUGGUGACCUCGGUGCUAAACACUCUAAAAUUCAUCAAAAGGCAAACUAAAGACAUAUGUUUUUCAGUAAGAAGGCUGACUAAGGAGACAGUUUGCAUGCUGUUAUGCUCAGCAAUGGCAAGUGAGCAUUGGAUCCUCUUUAAGAAUCCCCUGUUAGAAGCACUGAGAAACUGCCCAAUAUGGGCACCUAAGUACCACCCCUUCCAGUCCGAUUAUCAUAAAAACCGGGUGUCCCAGAAGAAGAUGUCUUUCGUUGAAAACGAGAGGUAGCCGCUAGAUGGACCACUGAUAAGCCUGAGAGCAAACAAACCUUUCUGCUGUUUGUGAGAAACCCCGAUGAGGGGAGUAGUGCUAAACCGCUCCUUUUCUAUUUUUCAUUCAUUUAAGUUCGUCUAUCAACAAAUAAAUAAGGCAACCAGGUUGGAAGUUACUAGGAGAAGAACAGAACGGUGACCAUGAAGUAAGAGCAUAAGGUAUGGAGGAGACAGUUUUGAGCUCAUUAAAAUUUAUCAAGGGAUAGGAGG